AACUUUGCACCGUGGCAGUAUCAUAGCCAAUGAGAUUUAUCAGAGGCGCACUUACUGCUAAUUGAAUUUUCCCAAUACCCUGCUGUGAUGACUUGCAAUAUAGUCAGCACUGGCAAAUUUUGACGGUCUCUGCAGAGA
ensembl:snRNA U4 U4 spliceosomal RNA